rnacentral:rRNA from 1 species
CCUACGGGAGGCAGCAGUGAGGAAUAUUGGUCAAUGGACGAGAGUCUGAACCAGCCAAGUAGCGUGAAGGAUGACUGCCCUAUGGGUUGUAAACUUCUUUUAUAUGGGAAUAAAAUGUUCCACGUGUGGGAUUUUGUAUGUACCAUAUGAAUAAGGAUCGACUAACUCCGUGCCAGCAGCCGCGGUAAUACGGAGGAUCCGAGCGUUAUCCGGAUUUAUUGGGUUUAAAGGGAGCGUAGGUGGAUUGUUAAGUCAGUUGUGAAAGUUUGCGGCUCAACCGUAAAAUUGCAGUUGAAACUGGCAGUCUUGAGUACAGGAGAGGUGGGCGGAAUUCGUGGUGUAGCGGUGAAAUGCUUAGAUAUCACGAAGAACUCCGAUUGCGAAGGCAGUUCACUGGACUGCAACUGACACUGAGGCUCGAAAGUGUGGGUAUCAAACAGGAUUAGAUACCCUAGUAGUC